rnacentral:rRNA from 1 species
UACGUAGGUGGCAAGCGUUGUCCGGAAUUAUUGGGCGUAAAGCGCGCGCAGGCGGUCCUUUAAGUCUGAUGUGAAAGCCCACGGCUCAACUGUGGAGGGUCAUUGGAAACUGGGGGACUUGAGUACAGAAGAGGAAAGCGGAAUUCCACGUGUAGCGGUGAAAUGCGUAGAGAUGUGGAGGAACACCAGUGGCGAAGGCGGCUUUCUGGUCUGUAACUGACGCUGAGGCGCGAAAGCGUGGGGAGCAAACAGG